rnacentral:rRNA from 1 species
CCUACGGGUGGCAGCAGUGAGGAAUAUUGGUCAAUGGACGAGAGUCUGAACCAGCCAAGUCGCGUGAAGGAUGACUGCGCUAUGGGUUGUAAACUUCUUUUAUGUAGGAAUAAAAUGAGCCACGUGUGCGUUUUUGUGUGUACUAUAUGAAUAAGGAUCGGCUAACUCCGUGCCAGCAGCCGCGGUAAUACGGAGGAUCCGAGCGUUAUCCGGAUUUAUUGGGUUUAAAGGGAGCGUAGGUGGAUUGUUAAGUCAGUUGUGAAAGUUUGCGGCUCAACCGUAAAAUUGCAGUUGAAACUGGCAGUCUUGAGUACAGUAGAGGUAGGCGGAAUUCGUGGUGUAGCGGUGAAAUGCUUAGAUAUCACGAAGAACUCCGAUUGCGAAGGCAGCUCACUGGACUGCAACUGACACUGAGGCUCGAAAGUGUGGGUAUCAAACAGGAUUAGAUACCCUUGUAGUC